ensembl:lncRNA
AUGUCAACAGUAAACACAAUUCUGAAGCGAAAUGUCCAAAUUGCUGAUCAGCUAGAACUGGACCAUAUAGUCUUAGUUUUUGACCAAGCUAUAUAUGCCAAAGCUCAGCAAAUCCGCUGGAAAGACAAUGACUUUACUCAGCGUACAGUGAUUAGACUAGGUGAAUUUCACACAUGCAUGUCCUACCUGGGCAUUCUAGGAAAAAGGUUUGGAGAUGCAGGACUGCAAGACAUACUCAUUGAGUCCGAAGUUGUUGCCCCAGGAUCCAUCAGUGGAGUGAUCAGUGGUCAUCACUACAACCGCAGCAUGAGGGCACACAAACUUCUGUAUGAGAGUCUGCAACGCAUCAGAUUUCUCACCUUCUUAGACACUCUGCCACCAGAGGAGAAAAAUGAGUGUAUGGAUGUCAUCAGUGAAAUCAAAUGUGCAUUCCAAGACAGAACCAUGGAUGUUUUGUGUGCAAAUGAAAAAUUUGAGAAAAUGUGUUCAAAAUAUGUCGACUUUGUGAAAAGAAGAAGUGCAGAAAACCCAACGUUUGCCUUCUGGAGUUCGUACAUCGACAUGGUACAGAUACUUCUUCUGUUUGUGAGAGCAACACGAGAAUCGGACUGGCAGCUUCACCUGUCAACAGUACGCUUGAUGAUGCCAUGGUUUUUUGCAUACGGUCAUGUAAAUUAUGCUAGGUAUUUACCUUCAUACUGGCUGGAAAUGGUCAAUUUGCCCCUCACACAUCCUUCUUGCCACAGCGAACUCAGUGUUAAAGGCCAGUGGACUGUCCAGCGUCAAAGUGUCCAUGGAUUUGCCUCGAUUGCUUGUGACCAGGCCAUUGAGCAAACAUGCAACAGAGAUUCCAAGACAAAGGGUGGUUGGACAGGGAUAACACAGAAUCGAGCUGCAGUAUAUCGCUGGAUAUUGUCGCAACAUGAAAGAGCAGCCAUAGCNGGCAGGGGGGCCUCCAGGACAGGUUUGGGAAGCACUGGUCUAUGGAACAGCCUGAGGGGCCAAGAUGGUGUUCAUCUGUGCAGACACGUUUUGAGUGUGUCAUCAGGCAGUUAA